CAGGGAGACAACAAUUGAUCGUGAUGUCUAAAUUUAUUUUUUAGGCCAUGAUCCUGUCACUUUAGGUCGAUCGGUACCUCAGAUUGAGAAUUCUUGAUUGAACUCGAUUUCAGUUCCUAAACUUUGUCUAGGUCACACCCAACAAAAGGGUACUCCUGGGCCAUUAGCUCAGGUGGUUAGAGCGCACCCCUGAUAAGGGUGAGGUCCCUGGUUCAAGUCCGGGAUGGCCCAUUCGGUGUUGGGGGUAUAGCUCAGUUGGUAGAGCGCCUGCUUUGCAAGCAGGAUGUCAGCGGUUCGAGUCCGCUUACCUCCACUGAUCCAACCCCUGAUAACGAACGCUAAGGACGUUUUGUUUAUGUGAUCUAGCAUUUGCUCUAUAUGAACGAACCUAGCUUCUUGUCAUUCCUCAAAAAAUAUUUUUGUAUGGCUGAUAGGACGCUGGGCUCCCUGCAAUAGAAAUUGCGGCGGCGUUCAGUAGAACCUUGACAACUGCAUAGGUAAGUCUGGAAAAAAUAAAGCAUCUCAUGGAUGCAUUAUUUUUAAGUCAUUUAAUAGCAUUCUGAUUAAUUCUGAAUCUAUAAAAUAGCUUAAAAAGAUAAUGUCUAAUUCUUGAGUCAAGAGCCAAGACUCUAAUAACGCUCUUUCAUUUUUAUAAUGAGAGUUAGAUCUUGAAUUUAUUUUUUGGCUUUAAACUCUAGGAUAUUUAUAUCUUAGUAAUUUGAACUCAAAAUUAUUAAUAAAUCAAAGAGAAUCGUGCUAACAACACAGGCGUUUUAGAGAUUAAU
rnacentral:tRNA from 1 species